UACGUAGGGUGCGAGCGUUGUCCGGAAUUAUUGGGCGUAAAGAGCUCGUAGGCGGUCUGUCGCGUCGAUCGUGAAAACUUGGGGCUUAACCCUGAGCUUGCGGUCGAUACGGGCAUGACUGGAGUUCGGCAGGGGGAGACUGGAAUUCCUGGUGUAGCGGUGAAAUGCGCAGAUAUCAGGAGGAACACCAAUGGCGAAGGCAGCACUCUGGGACGUGACUGACGCUGAGACGCGAAAGCGUGGGGAGCAAACAGG
rnacentral:rRNA from 1 species